rnacentral:rRNA from 1 species
GGGCCCGCACAAGCGGUGGAGCAUGUGGUUUAAUUCGAUGAUACGCGAGGAACCUUACCAGGGCUUAAAUGUAGUGGGACAGGUCUAGAGAUAGACCCUUCUUCGGACUCAUUACAAGGUGCUGCAUGGUUGUCGUCAGCUCGUGCCGUGAGGUGUCAGGUUAAGUCCUAUAACGAGCGCAACCCCUAUCGUUAGUUGCCAGCGGGUCAUGCCGGGAACUCUAGCGAAACUGCCGGUGCAAACCGAGAGGAAGGUGGGGAUGACGUCAAAUCAUCACGGCCCUUACGUCCUGGGCCACACACGUGCUACAAUGGCCGGUACAGAGAGCAGCCACUACGCGAGUAGGAGCGAAUCUACAAAACCGGUCUCAGUUCGGAUCGCAGCCUGCAACUCGACUCCGUGAAGUCGGAAUU